rnacentral:rRNA from 1 species
GUAGGGAAUCUUAGACAAUGGGGGCAACCCUGAUCUAGCCAUGCCGCGUGUGUGAUGAAGGCCCUAGGGUCGUAAAGCACUUUCGCCAGAGAUGAUAAUGACAGUAUCUGGUAAAGAAACCCCGGCUAACUCCGUGCCAGCAGCCGCGGUAAUACGGAGGGGGUUAGCGUUGUUCGGAAUUACUGGGCGUAAAGCGCACGUAGGCGGAUUAGUAAGUUAGAGGUGAAAUCCCAGGGCUCAACCCUGGAACUGCCUUUAAUACUGCUAGUCUUGAGUUCGAGAGAGGUAAGUGGAAUUCCGAGUGUAGAGGUGAAAUUCGUAGAUAUUCGGAGGAACACCAGUGGCGAAGGCGGCUUACUGGCUCGAUACUGACGCUGAGGUGCGAAAGUGUGGGGAGCAAACAGGAUUAGAUACCCUGGUAGUCCACACCGUAAACGAUGAAUGCCAGACGUCAGCAAGUAUACUUGUUGGUGUCACACCUAACGGAUUAAGCAUUCCGCCUGGGGAGUACGGUCGCAAGAUUA